rnacentral:rRNA from 1 species
CCUACGGGAGGCAGCAGUGAGGAAUAUUGGUCAAUGGACGAGAGUCUGAACCAGCCAAGUAGCGUGAAGGAUGACUGCCCUAUGGGUUGUAAACUUCUUUUAUAUGGGAAUAAAAUGUUCCACGUGUGGGAUUUUGUAUGUACCAUAUGAAUAAGGAUCGGCUAACUCCGUGCCAGCAGCCGCGGUAAUACGGAGGAUCCGAGCGUUAUCCGGAUUUAUUGGGUUUAAAGGGAGCGUAGGUGGAUUGUUAAGUCAGUUGUGAAAGUUUGCGGCUCAACCGUAGAAUUGCAGUUGAAACUGGCAGUCUUGAGUACAGUAGAGGUGGGCGGAAUUCGUGGUGUAGCGGUGAAAUGCUUAGAUAUCGCGAAGAACUCCGAUUGCGAAGGCAGUUCACUGGACUGCAACUGACACUGAGGCUCGAAAGUGUGGGUAUCAAACAGGAUUAGAUACCCCUGUAGUC